rnacentral:rRNA from 1 species
GACGAACGCUGGCGGCGUGCUUAACACAUGCAAGUCGAACGGAAAGGCCCUGCUUUUGUGGGGUGCUCGAGUGGCGAACGGGUGAGUAACACGUGAGUAACCUGCCCUUGACUUUGGGAUAACUUCAGGAAACUGGGGCUAAUACCGGAUAGGAGCUCCUGCUGCAUGGUGGGGGUUGGAAAGUUUCGGCGGUUGGGGAUGGACUCGCGGCUUAUCAGCUUGUUGGUGGGGUAGUGGCUUACCAAGGCUUUGACGGGUAGCCGGCCUGAGAGGGUGACCGGCCACAUUGGGCCUGAGAUACGGCCCAGACUCCUACGGGGGGCAGGAGUGGGGAAUAUUGCACAAUGGGCGGAAGCCUGAUGCAGCAACGCCGCGUGCGGGAUGACGGCCUUCGGGUUGUAAACCGCUUUCGCCUGUGACGAAGCGUGAGUGACGGUAAUGGGUAAAGAAGCACCGGCUAACUACGU